GACUGUCAGAAUUACACCCGCACUGGGUAUAUCGUCCUCGACUAUACGCAGGCACGUCCGGGUUGUUGGAUAAACCGGGUGGAGAGGCUCUUGGGGGUGUCGUUGUGCUAAACUGGUCGUUCGAGAGCACAUGGAUCACGGGCGGCUACUCGGCAACGACGACGUGUGUGAAAUUCGAUUUCAACUGCUUGUGCGCGCUCGCAGCCCCUCAAUCAUCCGCGCGAAGGAACUUUCAAGAUGGCGGCUUGUAGCUUUUCAAGCGCGCGCACUUUGAAAAGGUCGGUGAGCAUAAGAAGAAAUAAAAUAAAACUAAUGACAUUUGACACAGGAGCAUCGAAAUUGAAGGAUAAUGUGUAGGAAAUUUAGUUGAAAAGACAGAUUGUAUUUCGUUAAAUCUUUAAACGAAUUCAAAAAUGAUUUUAUUGAGUGAAAAUUAAGUGGCCCAGAAUAAACUAUUGUGACUUAUAAUACGAUUAAUCUUAAACCACUUCAUCUUUAACUUGUUUUUCACUAAACAGCAAGAAAAGUUAACAUACUACGAGUGGUUCGUUUUCCUUGUCAAACUUAUUGGCUGCCAACAUUUUUAUUUAAACAUCAUACUCUGGUGUCUUGCGUCGAGAUUUCUAUAUGAUUAUUUAUUAUUUUUUCAUUUAUUCUUUACUUUUAUCACGUGGUUGCGGCGAUGGCCAUAGUAGUACGACGAUAUAAUUGUAGUAGUAGCAAUUAAUAAUUCAUAAAUCAUUGUCUUUCAAAAUUAUUUUACAUCGAUAUAUUAUUCAAUAUAAUCCAUUUCAUAUAUAUUUCUAUAUUAAUAUAGACUUCUAUCUGUUUUUUUUUCUCGAUUAAAUUUUUCUCAAUAUUUUUUUCUUCGCUCAUUCUCGCAUUUAUCUCGCUUAUUAAGGAUCUUCAUUAAAACCUCUUUUAUAAUUAUAUCGCACAUGUCGCGUUUGCCAGACAAAAAAAACGCGUGGCAACGCGCGCGAGAAAAACACUUAAUCAACCAGACAAUAAUUUUUUUUCAUUCUUUUCGUUAUUCAUUUUUGUUUUCUUCAUUAUUAAUUAUAAUUCACGACUCUUCGCUGCCACUUGAUACAAUAAUGAUCACGCGCUUUUGCUUCGCUCCGUCGUUCACUAGCGCAGAAAAUAACCGCAGCGCGCAAGGCAUGUUAAAAACGCUAUACGCUUUGCUUACUCUUGUUUCUUUCUCCGUAAGAACUAAGUAGAGAGAGAGUGAUUGACAUUUAAAGAAACCAAAAAAAA